UCCUCCUCUUAUGAUGCUGCCCAAAGAAGGGAACCAUUUUUCACGAAGCAAUUUAACAUUAGAAAUUAAGAAGUUGGCGCCGGACUUGGAAAUGGUGAGUAGGUUGACUAUAGAUCUUGAAAUAUUUUUCUCUCUUUUUUCUAUAUUCCAAGUCUCCAACAGUCCAACUUACAACAACUUCUGAUGCAGAUGAGGGAAGAUAGUGCUUUCUAUGUCAUUUAUAAUUUAUUUAGCUUUAUGAAAAUAUAUCACAUAAAAUUGGCACUUCAUCAAUUCAUUUUUAUGUAGUAAAAAGAAAACUCUAACACUUGAAGGAACCAUAAGCUCUUUCGUAUUUCCAAACCUUAACUUCGCGACGAUCACUGAAGUUUACAUCAGCAACAACGUGGAGGCCACUCAAGAGAUGUCUCUCUUCUUUUGGCCAUGUGACAACAUUCACAGCAUGGCAAAAUAGAAAUGCUCAGUCAUUCUUCCAAUCUUUGUUGUAAUAUUUUUCUUGCCUCUAUUCUCACGAUGGUUCUGUUGGUUUUUGCAGCAUGUAUUUUAGUUUAAAUAUAUUACUAAUACAUAAUGCAGGUUGGAAGAAUGUUAAAUUGAUUUUAAUUUUUCACACGUACAGGAAUAAAUUUGAAGUUUGGUAAUGGAGAAGAUCAAGAACAACAUUGGUUUAGGUUUGGCAAAGAGGCUAAGGAGGCCGAGAAGUCAUUUCUGGAAAGAGCUGGUGCAUUGUCAACCCAUUUUUAACUGAGGGAGCGCAUAAUGGAAUCAUUUAUAGGAUUUGUCUCAGAUAUUGCUCCCCUGUGAACAUAGGUGGAGAGUGUUUUGAACCUAAUAACUUAUACAACCAUGCCUAUGUUGUUUUGAGUAAAGAAUAUAUAACUACAAGAAGUGAUUUAAACAAGUGUCAGUUUUUAGGUGGCAUCGUUGUUAUUACCGAUCCAAGUAAGCAACAUUUCAUAAUUUUAUAGAUUAUUCUCCAUUUGCUAUUUAUCAAGAAACUUACCUUUUAUGUGAUGGAAUUACAUAUCUAUCAACCUUUCUUUAAUUUACUAUUUUGCUUCAUGUACAGGUUAUGGCAACUGCGACUAUGGCUUGGGGUGGGAUAAAUAGAAGAGAAUAUAUUAUAAUAAUUAUGCCUUAAAUUUAUGCCAGGCAAUUUAGUAUGUCGAAACUCAAAUGAUGUCUGCAAUAUGGUCAAUUUGAACAUGUCCAUAUGUUCAAAAUCAGCAAAAUGCUGCUAUGAUGUUUCGACUUUAUGUCCAUAUCUCAGAGUUUCACCAUGAGUGUUUGAUGAAAUAACCGUAAAAGGAAAUAGGAGUUAGAAUUGGUCAGGAAUUUCUGUUUGGAAUAUUUAAUUGACUGGAUUUUCUUUUCGUACAGAAUUCCUCCACAAUGGUAUCAUAUGUGUGCUGAACUCUAAUUGAAUGGUUGUAUGUUGUUAUCUGCUUUUGGACUGAUUCGGUCUUGAAACGUAUAGUGCGCGUAUGUAUGUUGCAGGGGCUGCAAUAGAAAUGAAUAUGAACGUGUGGAUACGAAUUAUUUUCAGUUUGUGUCGAUUCGAAUAUGUCAUGGGCUGGCCAUUUGGUAAGUGUAGACAUGUAUGUGUGGCUAUGUAUUUGUAUGAACUUUGGUAGAGCUGCUGUAUGUAUUCCUUUUUUUUGACAGUAUCGGGUAUUUGUGAAUAUGGUAGUGUGUAUGUAUGGUACGAUUUACUAAUGAUUCGACUUCUAUGAAUGAAGAGAAUGAUAGUAGCGAUGAUGAAGAUGGCGACUUUUUUAAGCCUAUAUAAGAAGUGAAAAAGGUUUCCAAGAAAGAGUGAGGGAAAUGACGAGGGAAGCUUAGGCAUGUAGAGAAGACGUAGACUUUAUGUGCCAAAGAAGACUUGAAAUAAAUUGGUUCAUAUAUUUUUAAUCAACCAAUUAAAAAUAAUACUAUAUAAUAAUAAUAAUAAAUAUUAA